rnacentral:lncRNA from 1 species
AGACAGAUUCCCAGGAGGAGUGUAACACCUGCUGAUUUGACGCUUUUCCGUCUAGCCAUUCCAUGGCAUGGAACAAAAAUGACAAAUAUGGCAGAGGGACUCUUGUGGACUUGAAGAGGUUGAAGAGACCUGCAGGGAAUCCAGUGACUGCACCAAUUUACACUCCCACCAACAGUGUACGAAGGUUCCCUUUUCUUCAUAUCCUUGCCGCAUUUGUCAUUCGUGUUCUUUUUGAUGAUUGCCAUUCAUCAUUCAUCCAGGUGCAUGUAUCUUUUUGAAUUAUAGUUUUCUCCAGAUAUUCGCCCAGGAGUGGGAUUACUGGAUCAUAUGGAGAAUUAGAAGAAGAAUGACAAACCAAGCCCAAAGUCAGCAGAGGAAGGAAAUAAAUAAAUAUCAGAGAGAAAAUAAAAUAGAGAUAAAAAAUUAAAAAAAAUCAAUAAAACCAAGUAUUGGUUUUUUGAAAAGAUAAACAAAAUUGAUAAACCUUUUCCUGGGCUCACCAAAAAAUGGACCCAAAUAAACAAAAUAAGAAAUGAAAGAGGAAGAAUAAUGACUGAUACCAAAAACAUACAAAAAAUAAGAUAAUACUUAAAUAGUUAUACGCCAAAAAAUUGGACAACAUAGAAGAAAUGGACAAGUUUCUAGAAACAGAGCCUGUCAAGAGAGAAUCAAGAAGAAAUAGACAAUUUGAACAGACCAAUCACUAGAAGUGAAAUUGAAUCUGUAAUAAGUAGCUGCCAGCAAACAUAAGUCUAACACUGGAUGGCUUCACUGGGGAAUUCUACCAAACAUAUAAAGAAGAGAUUAUUCAUAUCCUUCUCAAACUACUUCAAAAAACUGAAGAGAGGGGAACACUCCCAAAUUCAUUCUGUGAGGCCACAAUUACCUUAAUACCAAAACCAGACAAAGAUGCUAUAAAAAAGAAAAUCACAGACCAAUCUCUUUGAUGAAUAUAGAUUCAAAAAUCCUCAACGAAAUAUUAGCAAACAGAAUCCAACAGUACAUAACAAGGAUCAAGUUGAAUUCAUUCCAGGGUUACAAGGAUAGUUCAACAUACACAAAUCCAUCAAUGUGAUACAUCACAUUAACUUAAGGAAAGACAAAAACCACACAAUCAUCUAAGUAGACACAGAAAAAGCAUUUGAAAAAAUUCAAUAUCCAGUCAUAACAAAAACUCUCCUCAAAGUUGAUAUAGAGGGAACAUAUUGCAACAUAAUAAAGGCCAUUUACAACAAACCCACAGACUAGAUAAUACUUUAUGGUGAAAAGCUGAAAGACUUCUUGCUAAAUUCACUAACAAGACAAGGAUGCUCACUCUCACCAAUUUUCUUUAAGAAGGUAUUUAAAUCAUAGUCACAUCAAUCAAACAAGAAAAGGAAACAUAUCAAAAUUGAAAGAGAAACAGUAAAAUUGUCACUGUUUGCAUAUGAUAUAUACUCUAUAUAAAGAGCCCUAAAGUCUCCACCCAAAAACUAUUAAAAUAAAUGAAGCCAGGAAGAUUUCAGGAUACAAGAUUAAUAUACAGAAAUCUGUUGCAUUUUAUAUACUAAUAAUGAAAUAUAGAGAAAGAAAUUAAAAAAACAAUCCUGUUUAAAGUCCCAUCAAAAAAUAUCUAGGAAUGAACUUAACCAAGGAGAUUCAAAGACCCUUAUUCUGAAUGUGAUGAAACAUUGAUGAAGGAAAUUAAAGAUGGUUCAAAGAAAUGGAAAGUUAUCCUGUGCCCUGGGAUUGGAACAAUAAUUAAUUUUGUUAAAAUGGCCAUACCACCCAAAGAAAUCUACAGAUAUAAUACAAUCCCUCUCAAAACAGUCAUGGCAUUUUUAUAGAACUGUAGCAAAUAACUCUAAAAUUUAUAUGGAACCACAAAAACCCAGAAUUGCCAAAGCAAGCCUGAGGAAAAAGAACAAAACUUGGUGCAUAACUCCUCCAUACUUCAGACUAUACUGCAAAGCUACAGUAAGCAAGAAGUUUCUGCUUAUGGUGCAGUGGGUUAAGAAUCUGAAUGCAGAAGUUCCAAUUGUUGCACAGGUGCAGGUUCGAUCCCUUGCUCAGUGCAGUGGGUUGGAGGAUCCAGUGUUGCAACAACUGUGGCUGGGGCUCAGAUUCAAUCCCUGGCACUAGAAUUUAAAAUAAAAAUUUAAAUUUAUUUUAAAGUAAAAAUUUAUGUAAAAAUAAAUUUAUAAUUUUUACAAAAAAUUAUUUAAAAACAAAAAAAAAUUUAAAAAAAGCUACAGUAAUCUGAACUGGAUGGUAUUGGCACAAAAACAGACUUGUGGAUCAAUGAACAGAAUAGAGAGCCCAGAAAUAAACCCACAUACCUAUGGUCAAUUAAUCUUUGACAAAGGAGGCAAGAAAUUACAAUGGAAAAAAGAUAAUCUCUUCAACAAGUGGUGUUGGGAGAGCUGGAGAGCUGCAUGUAAAACAAUGAGUUUAGAACAUUCCCUCACACCAUCUACAAAAAUAAAGUCAAAGUGAUUUAAAGACCUAAAUGUAUAACAUGCAACCAUAAAAUUCUUAAAAGAGAAUAUAGAGGGAAUGCUCUUUGACAUAAAUUGUAGCAAUAUUUCUUGAAAAAAGUCUUUUCGAAUGAAAAUAAUAGUGCUUUGAUUUUAAAAUAUAUCUACACAUAUGACUAUUAGAUGACUAAAUGAACCCUAUUUUAUUAUUUUAAGUAUAAUAACGCUUCUUGGAUUUAAUGAUCUAGACUGCUAGACUUUACCACAACAUUUAAGAUCUAAACAUGAACACUAACAGAGUAAUAACCUCAUUCCAGCAGAGGAAAUUCCUCCACGUGUUAAACUUGGGUAACAAAUGUUGGAAUUUUAAUUCCUUCUAGAAGCACCUUCUAGUUGGCAUCUGAGGCCAUCCAUAGUUAUGAGAAUUAUUUUAAAAUUUCAUUCAAAAUAAGCUAUGCAAAAAGGUGGUGGUUUUCCUCUUCAGUGGGUCCUCAUUUUUACAAUGUUCAAACUGCAUGUUUUAUUGAAUAUAGUUCAUAUAGGAAGAAUAAUAUAAUAAUCUUAUUGAAUAUCCUUAGGACAUCACUAAAAAUGAAGCUAAUUUGCAUUGGCAGUUAGAUUUUGUUGUAUUUUAAUACAGCUCUAAUGCAAUAAUAUUCCUUUACUAGUGACUUUGUUUAAAUACAUUUUUUUCUUAUUGACAAUUAUACACCCAAGUCUUAUGAAAUUACCUUGAGGAGUUCCAGUUGUCCAUAUGGGAGUGGUAAUUAGGUUUAUUAAUCGGCAAUAUUAUUGUAACAAGUCUCUGUGCAUUAGGUGAAUUUUAAUAAAAAUAAGGUUAGACCUUUCCUUUGCCAGAUUUUAACAAAUUCCUAAGUGAGUUAGGGUUUCUUUUGUACAGAAUCAUUAAGAGCAUCAUCCUUCCUUCUUGCUUAUAUCCGAAUAGAAAACAGCAACAUCAAGGAACUUCAAUCCUGCUUGCACGGUUUUCUUUCCUUUUAGAUCUUCUGCUUACAACAUCAACGACAGACAUAUCAGAAGCAUGUGUGGCCACUGCAAGGGUCUCACAGCUGUCCAGUCACACUUCAGUCCUCCACAGGGCAGGGUAAUAUAUCUCAAGUUUGAGCAAAAUAUUAGAGUAGAAAAUCACUCAGUUAAUUUACUGUUUUUUUUGUGCUGAAUUCGUACAUGUGAAGAGGAAAAUGGCGUCUGGGUGACCGGUAGUCUCAACUCUCUUAUCAGGAUUACAUCCUGCACAUGGCUGGUAAUCCGACAACCGGGGCACAUCAGCAAGUCUUAGAGCACUGGGUGCCACAGGGAUGGAAGGCAUCUAAGUAAACAUUUGUUCUGUGGAACAUGGUGUAAUAUUCUGAUGACAUUGGAGAGACCAGCCUUAUUCUCUGAGCAGUAGCAAGCCUUAUUUUGCAUUCCCAGAUUCAGGGUUCUUGAUGACCAGCUGAAAAUAACAAUAACUUCAUCCAGUGAGUGUGAACAAUAGUAGAAACUAUAGUUUUUAUUGUUUUAUCUGUAGAAGAUAGAUUUCACCUCGAAUAGAAACUCUUUUGAAAUUAGGUUGUGAUGAUGAUGUACAACUGUAAAUAUAAUAAAAUUCAUUAAAAAGUGAAAAACAUAAAUGAUCUUCAUUAAAAAAUUACUAGGUUAGCAGACAUUCUCUGUUCCCUUUGAGAUAUGUACUGAGUUAUGCCCUAAUCAAUACUUGAGAAAACACUCUGCUUCUUAUGAAACCUGUGCACCUCUGCUCCCACUGAUUGAGUUGUUUGUUUGCUAAGAGUCAUUUAAUAUCUAUUCCCAAGUUUAUUCAGUUGCACUUUCUAUUGCAAUUGCAUGGUUUAGAAAAUCAUUCUACAAAUGGAUAAAACCAUUUGAUUAGUGAAAACUCAUAAAAGAGAAGUUCCCGUCGUGGCUCAGUGGUUAACGAAUCCGAUGAGGAACCAUGAGGUUGCGGGUUCGAUCCCUGGCCUUGUUCAGUGGGUUAGGGCCCCGGUGUUGCCGUGAGCUGUGGUGUAGGUUGCAGAGGCAGCUUGGAUCCGGUGUUGCUGUGGCUCUGGCAUAGGCCGGUGGCUACAGCUCAGAUUCGACCCCUAGCCUGGGAACCUCCAUAUGCUGCGGGAGCAGCCCUCAAAAAAGGCAAAAAGACAAAAAAAAAAAACAAAAGAAAACAAAACUCAUAAAAGAGUUGUCACUUUUAUGAAAAUCAAGUGCAUGCUUUGGAGAGUCUAAAAAAAGUGAAAUUGCUAAAAAAUAUAAAACUGCUGUCUAACUAGGCAUUGAUGAGACAAAACAGUAAAAGACUGAAGGAGAAAAAUCCUAAAAGUAGUGGAUUCUUUACUCAAUUUACUUGCAAAUAUCUUUAGAUUUUUGUUCAACUUUAAAGAUAUCAAACUGGUGCUAGCCGUAGGUGAUACAUUUUAGAUACAACUUCUGUGAGGAAUGUUGAUUGAAUUUUCCAAUCGAUAGGUUCUAACUAAAAGAUCUUGGUCUGACUGUAAAAUAUUGGUGAAUGUACAUUUGUAUAUUUUAGGUUCAAAUUAAAUGUUUGAAGU